AACGAACGCUGGCGGCAUGCCUAACACAUGCAAGUCGAACGAGACCUUCGGGUCUAGUGGCGCACGGGUGCGUAACGCGUGGGAACCUGCCCUUAGGUUCGGAAUAACUCCCCGCAAGGGGUGCUAAUACCGGAUAAUGUCUUCGGACCAAAGAUUUAUGGCCUUUGGAUGGGCCCGCGUUGGAUUAGCUGGUUGGUAGGGUAAAAGCCUACCAAGGCGAUGAUCCAUAGCUGGUCUGCGAGGAUGAUCAGCCACACUGGGACUGAGACACGGCCCAGACUCCUGCGGGAGGCAGCAGUGGGGAAUAUUGGACGAUGGGCGAAAGCCUGAUCCAGCAAUGCCGCGUGAGUGAUGAAGGCCUUAGGGUUGUAAAGCUCUUUUACCCGGGAUGAUAAUGACAGUACCGGGAGAAUAAGCUCCGGCUAACUCCGUG
rnacentral:rRNA from 1 species